CAUACAGCAGACAUUUAGUUGACGGCAAAAUCAGCUACUGCCAUCUUGUUUUCUUUUUCUUUCUUGCAAAUAUGAAUUAAAUAGCAUUUAUGGCUUUAGACCCUCUAUGACAAGCAUCAAAAGACAUAAGCACCACACUGCACUCACACACAAAUGCUGUCCGUCAGUGGUCCCAAAGCAUCUAUUCUCUGUUCAUAUUUGAGACUGGAGAAGAAGAAAAAGGGGAAAGGCAGUGCAUGAACAAUUUCAAACAACAUGAACUCACGGUCAUUUUAAUGUGAUUUGCAUGUGAGGUGAUUUUGAACCACUUUGAAAAAGAGUAUUCAUGAAAAUGACCGAAACCCUCUUGUCCUUAGUUAAGAACAAGUCACUCUCUCAGUAGACGGGUCAAGGGUUUAGUUCACGGUCAUGUUGACAGCAGUCGAUGAGCAUCACCUGUCCAUCAUUACCUCGUCAGUCUGGGAUUGGUCACGGAGUACUUCCGGUUUCAUAUUUAAUCGGUGCUCUCGGACCAGAAGAUGUCAUUUCAUCUGACAAGCAAAAUGGAUACUUGGGUUCUUCCAAGGUAUGUGACAGUUAAAUUACUAUUUGUCAUAGUCUAUUCUAGGCAUGUUUAUUUCACUGUUUUUGACCUUGCUGUUUUCCUUUACAGUCAGUUGCUCCUCAUUGCACUGUGCACCUGCAAUGUCCUUUGCUUUCCUGCGCAAAAAGGCUGGCGCCAGCGUCGUCCUUAUGAAGGCAGUUUGUCUCACAUUGAGGGCCUUCCUAGCGUCCCUUAUCGCUCGACCCAAGGUGCUCCUACACAGCCUUCCACUGUGAGUAACCCGGCUGUGAUGGACAAAGCGUCUCCGAGCCCUGGAGCCUAUCCAGCAAGCGCCAGUGUCCAGUGAGGCUUCAUUGAAUGCUCCUCCUGUUUGGGAUCCUCUGGAAGAGUCUACGAACGCAUCCAGAAACACUCAGCCCGCGCCGUACGUCGACCCUCCCCUUUUCCUUCGAGCAGGCGAGCCUGACCACGAUGACGACACCGUGGAGCCCGGCAAUGCAGACGGAGAAACUGAAGAGCUGAACUUAUCUGCUUCUCCAUAUCCUGACUUCCAGGCUGGGGAGUUGAGUCGGCACGCGUUAACCCUUGAGCACGGAAAUCAAGAGUGGGAAACGGAAGAACGAGGUUUCAUGCCACCGCCUCCUUACGCCUCGGCGCCGCAGGGCGUUGAGGCGUCUGCUGCUUCCACGACGUUCCCCGCGCAGCCAGACCCACGAGAGCUAAUGCCGGUUGGAUGGAGCCAGUACCUGCUCUUGACUGGUCAGCUUCCUUCUGGCACCUACAAUCGCUUUCUGUCCGACUACGAGACCGGCGGCGGCCAGUUGGACGAAGCCCAUUAUGAGCAAUAUUACUUCCUCACUCGGCUUUGGUAGACCAACGACUAAGCAGCCCUGUAGGUCAUUAAAAACAACCUGACGUGGAUCAGGUCAGAGAACGCUAGUUGUCUCUGUACUUCGCUCAGAUGCAUGUUUGCUUGUGUGGAUUUUGAAUAAAAGACUAAAUAAGU